rnacentral:tmRNA from 1 species
GGGGCUGACUUGGAUUUCGACAGAUUUCUUGUCGCACAGACAGCAUGCCAAGCGCUACUUGUAAAACAGCAACAAAAAUAACUGUAAACAACACAGAUUACGCUCCAGCUUACGCUAAAGUUGCGUGAGUUAAUCUCCUUUUGGAGCUGGACUGAUUAGAAUUUCUAGCGUUUUAAUCACUCCAUAACCUUAAGCUAGACGCUUUUAAAAGGUGGUUCGCCUUUUAAACUAAGAAACAAGAACUCUUGAAACUAUCUCAAGGUUUUAGAAAGUUGGACCAGAGCUAGUUUUAAGGCUAAAAAACCAACCAAUUUUCUAAGCAUUGUAGAAGUUUGUGUUUAGGGCAAGAUUUUUGGACUGGGGUUCGAUUCCCCACAGCUCCACCA